rnacentral:rRNA from 1 species
CCUACGGGAGGCAGCAGUGAGGAAUUUUCUGCAAUGGACGAAAGUCUGACAGAGCAAUACCGCGUGAGGGAUGAAGGCCUACGGGUUGUAAACCUCUUUUCUCAAGGAGGAAGAUCUGACGUUACUUGAGGAAUAAGCAUCGGCUAACCCUGUGCCAGCAGCCGCGGUAAUACAGGGGAUGCAAGUGUUAUCCGGAAUUAUUGGGCGUAAAGCGUCUGCAGGUGGAUAAAUAAGUCCUUUGUUAAAUCUCUGAGCUUAACUCAGAAUCUGCAAAAGAAACUGUUUAUCUUGAGUAUGGUAGAGGUAAGGGGAAUUUCCAGUGGAGCGGUGAAAUGCGUAGAUAUUGGAAAGAACACCAACAGCGAAGGCACCUUACUGGGCCAGUACUGACACUCAGAGACGAAAGCUAGGGGAGCAAACGGGGAUUAGAUACCCCGGUAGUCCUAGCUGUAAACGAUGGAUACUAGAUGUUGUGUACUUUAGGUAUGCAGUGUCGUAGCUAACGCGUUAAGUAUCCCGCCUGGGAAGUAUGCUCGCAAGNGUAGAAACUNAAUGAAUUGACGG